UACGAAGGGGGCUAGCGUUGUUCGGAAUUACUGGGCGUAAAGCGCACGUAGACGGACCUAUAAGUCAGGGGUGAAAUCCCGGGGCUCAACCUCGGAACUGCCUUUGAUACUGUGGAUCUCGAGUCCGAUAGAGGUGAGUGGAAUUCCUAGUGUAGAGGCGAAAUUCGUAGAUAUUAGGAAGAACACCAGUGGCGAAGGCGGCUCACUGGAUCGGUACUGACGCUGAGGUGCGAAAGCGUGGGGAGCAAACAGG
rnacentral:rRNA from 1 species